GAUGAAGAACGCAGCGAAAUGCGAUACGUAAUGUGAAUUGCAGAAUUCAGUGAAUCAUCGAAUCUUUGAACGCAUAUUGCGCUCUUUGGUAUUCCGAAGAGCAUGCUUGUUUGAGUAUCAGUAAACACCUCAACCUCUUCUUGAUUUUUCAAAAGGAGGGUGGACUUGAGCUAUCCCAACAACCUUUACCGGUCGGCGGGCGGCUUGAAAUGCAGAUGCAGCUGGACUUUUAUCUGAGCUAAAAGCAUAUCUAUUUAGUCCUCGUCAAACAGGAUUAUUACUUUUGCUGCAGCUAACAUAAAGGAUAAUUGUCCUCUUUGCUGACUGAUGCAGGAUUUUACGACACUUUAUGUGUUGUUCAACUCGAUCUCAAAUCAAGUAAGACUACCCGCUGAACUUAAGCAUAUCAAUAAGCGGAGGA
rnacentral:misc_RNA from 1 species